GGGAAGGGAGGGGUGUAAGUGUAAUGCAGCCUGGCUAUUGUGUGUCGAUAUAGUAAACUGUUUGCGUCUUAAUGGGAUUUGUUGUAGGGAUGCGACAGAGGUAAAGGGGAAGGAUGAGAGCCGUUAAAGAGCUCAUCACCCCCCCAAAAAAAAUCCCGUAGGAGGCCGUAACGCUGAAGAAGGCGACGAUGAGAACCGCUGAAGGGAGGCCGUAACGCAGAAGAAGGCGACGAUGAGAACCGCUGAAGGAGGCGACGAUGAGAACCGCUGAAGGAUUAUGAUGUUGCGUUUUCUGAUCAUCUUGUACUUCGGCUCCCUGCUUGCAACGACACCCAUCCACUUGAAGCCUGGCGCCCUCACGGCACACAUAGGAGAGGUCUUCCUCAUAGAAAAUGUGCUCCUCGUAAAAUAUCCAUAUACUUCCUUGACCAACACCACAGACACAAUCAGGAUAGUCUCAGAAAAACUACUCGGCAUGGCAGGCGCCAUACGGGCAACCAAGACUAGGGAAUCAAAGGCACCUUCUAGUACCAACUCUCUGAAUGAAACGAAACAGAGUUUGCAGAAACCCUGGAGGAAACGCUGCCUGAAUACUUGCACCUCACCUACUUGUACCCUGGAAUUUUUGUGCCAAUGUUUCUGAUGUUCGUCAGUCUCGUCGUCAUGUGCUACCUUAUUAGGAGGAACUCUGUCCUGCACGAUUAUUUGAUCGUGCAGACAAGGCGACAGGAUGCAGGGAGGCCACUGGCAAGGUAGUUUUUUUUCUCUCUCUAGCAAGUCAAAUGACAGCAAACUGGCAUUCCCCUGCUCCUGUAUCUUAACAUUGUACUGUGUUUCACUACUGUAUUUUUUUUUAUUUUUUUUAUUUUUUUUAGGAGCUAGAUGAACGUUUCAUUGUCUGUCACUAUGCCAGUUGAUAGCUACUUAUACAUGUGUCCUUAUAUUUAUCUUUUGAGAGAUUUCUUAUGAUUCAUGUCACACACGUUGUGUUUUACCUCUCACUAUUUAUAUUAUUACUACACAAAUGUUCUUACAUAGCCAGUGUUUUCAUGUAAUUGUAUCAUAAGCAGUCUGCUUAACAAGAUCCCACUAUGUAUGAUAAUGGUAACUAGACUGCUAGUUAGAUUUUUGUAAAUCGCGAGGUCGCGAUCACUGGUAAGUGACCGAGCAGUGUUAUAGUAGGAUAUCAAUGUAUUAUUAUUAUUAUUAUUAUUAUUAUUAUUAUUAUUAUUUAAUAUCACCACGAAUUAGGCAUACAAUUGUCAAUGGAAAAAACUCACGACAGAUAGAUCACGCCACCUUAUAGGAAUGUCGUCCGUCAGUGUUUACCGUCUCAGUUUGUAUACAAAACAUUUAAUCAAGCUUGGAGGUCACCUUGACAUACGUGACCAGUUGUAAUUUCGUUAUUUUCCAAUCGGUAACUCGUCAAUCCAUCACGAGAGUCCGACUGACACACACCUGCACUCUCUCGCUCAGACGCUCCUGUACAUAUAGGCUUAAGAAUAAUUCGCCUUAAAGGAAGCUGAGUCUUAAUCAACCCCUUUAAACGCCCCCCGGUACACCGUUACAUUUCUUUCAUUUUGUUUCUUUUCUUCAUUUCCCGUCUAGUUUUAAUCCUGCUAUUCCCCUAUUUUCUUUCCAUCAUUAGUCAGUUAUAAAAAGUCUUGGUAUGCAUUUUUUCUACGUUUUAUUUAUUUUUCCUCUUUUCUUUCCGCUUCUUGAAUAUGGAAUGUUCUUACUUUCAUCCCUUUUUUAAUUAACCUGAGAUGAAAAUUGUUAUGACCGAUUCAUUAUAUAUAUGUUUAGAUCAGAACGUACUCAAGACACAUCCUAUUUAAACUCUUUCUGCUUCGUCUGCUUUUAUCGUGGAGAAGAAAAAGGAGGAGAAAAAGAGGAGCGCCGUGUCCUUAUCUCUCCUCGCAGCCUGUCAUAUUUCUCUUCUCACGCAGUAAUUAAUUUUCCUUAAGUCGCUCAUUGACUCACACCUUGCCAGCCACGAGGGAGAUAGCAACGCUUUUCUUUUUCAAUACUUUAAGGAGCUGAUCGAGUGCGUAUGUGCGUGUGUGUGUCAUGCUUGGAAAUGUGUGUGGGUGGGUGAUUGGUUGCUGGAAGGUGGACAUGACAGUAGGGAUUAUUUGUAUUAUUGAACUGCUACUACUAUUAGUGUUAUUAUAUCCAAUGAACAAAAACUUACUAUUUCCUCCCGGAUAUUUUCCACAUUUGAGUCAGAAUUGCAAUGUUCGGGCGUAACUUACAUUUGAUCUCGAAAAUAACUAUUAUGUAUACAUGUAUAGUCGUAAUCUUUUACAUUUAGAUAAUACACUGCUUUCUCAUGAAUGGAACUAUUAAUUAAAGUUUGAGUUGUCUGUAAACAUCGUCUGCCCCAACAGCGAUUCUACGAAGUUUACCAUCAAAAGAAACAGGUAUAUUUCCAUUUUCUAUAUAUGUACAGCUUUUGAUCCGUCUUCCUUGUCGAGAGUGGCUUGUUUGUAUUACUAUGGAUUACUGUUGCUUUUGAUCAGACCUCUUAGUCGGGAUUAUAUUUAGUUACCACCCGCAUUAAUUAAGGGAGAUGGUAUUGUUUUCAGAUCGGUUUAUGACUUUUUGGGAAUUCGAGACACUAAUUUAAUCUAUCGGCUAGUGAGAAAAGAUAAAUAGUGUAAUAAUAAUGAAAAGCAGUGUGUGAAAAGCAGAAGAGAGGAUCAAGAGAAGGACCUACGAGGCGUUACAGGUCAGAAGAAGAAAAAGAUAGACAAAUGGUAUUGUCUGGGUGGGUGAUUUAUCUUAUUAGGUGGACAUGUUGAAGGGGAUGGGAGGGCAUUCAACGUAGCUAUAGUGUCAUAGAGGUAUGAAGGUGGAAUGCGUGCCCAGUCGGCGUUGUUUCAGUGGGAAUGUGUCUAAACUGCAGAGGAAAAAAAAAGUUACUUCACGACAACUUGUUCCUGCGUUUCACAUGCUUCAUUAUUUCAGUUGGAGGUGUUCGUUGCAAUACACAAGUAUGACCAUUAUUAUAUUCGUAGGUAUUAUGAUUCUUAUUAUAUGUUCGUUCAUAUCACAACGACAUAAAGUGCUGUUGAAUAAUCAUGGACUGAAAAGACAGUGAGUUGAUUGGUGAAAUGUGAUGAAUCAGUAAUUUUGGGGGGAUGUGCCUGCUAAUAAAACUUUGAACCAGAAGCUGGUUGUGGAUCUGUACUACUUGUCUGUUUUCUUUAAUGAUCUAUAUAUUUUCAUCACAAAUAACUACUUAAAUUGAUAUUUGAUUACCGGGGAUGCCGCCACAACGGAGGAAGAAAUCAUAUGCUCAGCUUUUCAUUUUUACCUCGAUUUUUUUUUUUAUCUGUAUACAGUUUUUUUUUUAUCACAUUUGAUAUUAUUAAUAGUAAUAAUGAUGAUAAUAACACUAACAAUUCACCGGCGACU